rnacentral:rRNA from 1 species
GACGAACGCUGGCGGCGUGCUUAACACAUGCAAGUCGAACGGAAAGGCCCUGCUUUUGUGGGGUGCUCGAGUGGCGAACGGGUGAGUAACACGUGAGUAACCUGCUCUUGACUUUGGGAUAACUUCAGGAAACUGGGGCUAAUCCCGGAUAGGAGCUCCUGCUGCAUGGAGGGGGUUGGAAAGUCUCGGCGGUUGGGGAUGGACUCGCGGCUUAUCAGCUUGUUGGUGGGGUAGUGGCUUACCAAGGCUUUGACGGGUAGCCGGCAUGGGAGGGUGACCGGCGACAUUGGGACUGAGAGACGGCCCAGACUCCUACGGGAGGCAGCAGUGGGGAAUAUUGCACAAUGGGCGGAAGCCUGAUGCAGCAACGCCGCGUGCGGGAUGACGGCCUUCGGGUUGUAAACCGCUUUCGCCUGUGACGAAGCGUGAGUGACGGUAAUGGGUAAAGAAGCACCGGCUAACUACGUG